rnacentral:lncRNA from 1 species
UUCAGUUGUUUCUUUAUCUAUUCUAUUGUUUCCUACAAGUCUGUUUAUUCCUGCUCCUAUAUGAAUCCCCAUCUCUAAACCCUUUGUAUGUUGAGUUACUGUUCAGAAACAUGACAAACACUUGAUAUUGUUGUUCAUGUCUAUGGACUGGACUCCCUUAGUCCUAAACUCUUUCAAUUCCCAUCCCCCUUUCCCUUUAUGUGUAUUUUGAGCCUGAGACUUUCAUCUGGCAAUGUCCUAAUCACUGUCCAGACCAUAGUCUGGCCUGCAAUAGGUAUGUGCUCUUCUUUGAUUUGCUGAACAGGCUUGGUCAGGUGGGUGCCAGCAUACUUUGUGGCUAGGCAUGAUCACCAGCCUGCCUUGGCACUCCACAACCCCUCUCUUAC